ACGGUAGCUAAUACCGGAUAAUUCCUUUUGGCUCCUGCCAAGAGGAUGAAAGACGGAGCAAUCUGUCACUGCGGGAUGGGCCUGCGGCGCAUUAGCUAGUUGGUGAGGUAACGGCUCACCAAGGCGACGAUGCGUAGCCGACCUGAGAGGGUGAACGGCCACACUGGGACUGAGACACGGCCCAGACUCCUACGGGAGGCAGCAGUAGGGAAUCUUCCGCAAUGGGCGAAAGCCUGACGGAGCAACGCCGCGUGAGUGAUGAAGGUUUUCGGAUCGUAAAGCUCUGUUGCCAGGGAAGAACGUCCGGUAGAGUAACUGCUACCGGAGUGACGGUACCUGAGAAGAAAGCCCCGGCUAACUACGUGCCAGCAGCCGCGGUAAUACGUAGGGGGCAAGCGUUGUCCGGAAUUAUUGGGCGUAAAGCGCGCGCAGGCGGCUAUUUAAGUCUGGUGUUUAAACCAUGGGCUCAACCUGUGGUCGCACUGGAAACUGGGUGGCUUGAGUACAGAAGAGGAAAGUGGAAUUCCACGUGUAGCGGUGAAAUGCGUAGAGAUGUGGAGGAACACCAGUGGCGAAGGCGACUUUCUGGGCUGUAACUGACGCUGAGGCGCGAAAGCGUGGGGAGCAACAGGAUUAGAUACCCUGGUAGUCCACGCCGUAAACGAUGAGUGCUAGGUGUUAGGGGUUUCGAUACCCUUGGUGCCGAAGUUAACACAGUAAGCACUCCGCCUGGGGAGUACGGUCGCAAGACUGAAACUCAAAGGAAUUGAC
rnacentral:rRNA from 1 species